UUUACGUCGAAGAAGAAAUUUCGCUACCUGACCAUUUUCAACGAUUUUAUCUGCUAGGUUGUUCUGAAUGUAAUCAUCUUGUUCGGAGCAAAAUAAAAAAAGAGAUUCAAUGCAUAAACUGCAGGCUGCAAGGAAUGUUAAUUCCAAGGUGCUACUUUGAGGUGGAAAUUACAGACGAAACUGACACAACUACAGCAACAGUGUCUGAAGGCUUGGGCGAAAGAAUGUUGCCAAUGAGAGCUGAACAAAUAUAUGAUAUCGUCAGUGUUAAAGUACAUACACAUACAAUGCUACAGUUGACAUAAGCCAACAAAGCUAAUAUAAUGCUCUCAUGCUUAACACAUAAACAUAAACUGUUUAGAGUUCAGCUACAAAGGUCAUCAUCCAGAACACCAGACAAAAAUGCAAGUUCUCUGGUCCUUUUAUCAUACACUGAAAAACCAAUCAUGUUUCUACCAGAAGAGUCAACAUCUAUGACUGAUGCCGAGGGAACUAUGGAAGAAGAGCCAAUACUACUGAGUGAUGUGAAAGGAACUAAGAAACGAAAAAGGGAACCAAGUACUCUACCAAAGCCACAAUCAAGGUUUAGAAAUUCAAAUACCAUAUUUUACCAUCUACCAAUUUUCUUAAAAUGAAUAUUUUAUUUGUACAGUUUGUCGAGGCAGUGAUGUCCGCUCAGAUGGUAUGUGAUGUACAAAGAUAUUUUGACAGAUCGUACUGAUCAUUUAACAAGGUUUAGAUAGUU